rnacentral:rRNA from 1 species
GACGAACGCUGGCGGCGUGCCUAACACAUGCAAGUCGAACGGGGUAAUUACUUCGGUGAUUACUUAGUGGCGAACGGGNGAGUAACGCGUGAGAAACCUGCCUUUCAGUGGGGGACAACAGUUGGAAACGACUGCUAAUACCGCAUAAUGUUAUUUGGGGCAUCCCCGAAUAACCAAAGAUUUAUUGCUGAAAGAUGGUCUCGCGUCUGAUUAGCUAGAUGGCGGGGUAACGGCCCACCAUGGCGACGAUCAGUAGCCGGUCUGAGAGGAUGAACGGCCACAUUGGGACUGAGAUACGGCCCAGACGCCUACGGGAGGCAGCAGUGAGGAAUAUUGGUCAAUGGUCUGACGACUGAACCAGCCAUGCCGCGUGAAGGUGACGGCCCUAUGGGUCUUAAACUUCUUUUGUAAGGGAGCAAUAAGGUGUACGUGUACAUCGAUGAGAGCACCUUACGAAUAAGCAUCGGCUAACUCCGUGCCAGCAGCCGCGGU